GUGGGGAAUAUUGGACAAUGGGGGGAACCCUGAUCCAGCCAUGCCGCGUGUGUGAAGAAGACCUUUUGGUUGUAAAGCACUUUAAGCGAGGAGGAGGCUACCGAGAUUAAUACUCUUGGAUAGUGGACGUUACUCGCAGAAUAAGCACCGGCUAACUCUGUGCCAGCAGCCGCGGUAAUACAGAGGGUGCAAGCGUUAAUCGGAUUUACUGGGCGUAAAGCGCGCGUAGGUGGCCAAUUAAGUCAAAUGUGAAAUCCCCGAGCUUAACUUGGGAAUUGCAUUCGAUACUGGUUGGCUAGAGUAUGGGAGAGGAUGGUAGAAUUCCAGGUGUAGCGGUGAAAUGCGUAGAGAUCUGGAGGAAUACCGAUGGCGAAGGCAGCCAUCUGGCCUAAUACUGACACUGAGGUGCGAAAGCAUGGGGAGCAAACAGGAUUAGAAACCCCAGUAGUCC
rnacentral:rRNA from 1 species